rnacentral:lncRNA from 1 species
UUGUCAACAAGAGACACCCGGGGUGCCUUCUGGUCCCCAGCAGGCCUGCCUUAGGCCACUCCUUGGCCCCUUAGUGGAGCCAGACUUGGCAGGAGGCCGUUUCUCUCUCUGCAGAACCUCUCCUUAGCUCUCAGGUGGCCUCCUGAGGUUUGCCCGUCUGCUGGCUGUCCAGUACCAGUGUGGACAGGGCCUCCCAGCAAGCCCUGAGUGUGGCUUUGUCUGUGGCCUUGUCUCUGUCAGGCUUGUGUGGCUCAGGAUGCCACCUGCAGUCUACGUCCUUCCUCAUGUUGGUGCACUUUUCUGCUUGAGCUGCAGUGUGCUGUGACCCGCUGUGGUAACAGCUCGUGGAGAGUAAGGCAGGGAUUCUUGUUAUAUCUGGAUCUUUAAUAAUCAUGAAAUGAGUUAUAGACAAAUAAAAACAUUGCAAACAGCAGCUAAAGUGUCCUGGAGCUGGAGGGUGCCCAUCAGCAAGUCUGUUUCCUCUGAUUUUCAGCUUUCUACCCUCGACUGGAAAUGGGAAAAUGUGAUCCUUUCUUUUCACAACCGUCGGGUAACCGGGUACUUUCAUCACACUGGCCCAUUUAGAACCUUAGACUUUUAUGCAUUUCAUUGAUUUGUUUCAUUAUUAAGUAGGUGGUUGUUUCCAAAUUCCUGGAUUAUUUGAUCCUUUGGUUUAUGUGUGUGCUUUUGGGGUGGCGUGCAGGUCAGCUUUGGACUCUGGUUCAUCUCAAGCAGGUGCUAUAUCUCAUCCAUAAACAUCAGGGAGAAACUGGGAGUCACUCUCCUUUAGGCUGCCACCAGGGAGACUUGUAUGUAUUUUAAGGAAGGUGUGAGUUACUCAUCCUGAAUUUCUAACUUCUUCACAACAUUCAGCAACGAAAAUGGAUCAACAUAUUAUCUGCCAAUAAGUAAAGAAAGGAAAUAAACUGAAAAACAAUAAACAUGUCUAUAUUCUCAUUUUCGAAGUCAUUUUUAUUUCUGAUGCUGAGUUAUUAAUUAAACUAAAUUUGUAAAUGAAAAAAGAAUCUCUUUUUAUUAUUUCAAAGAAUAACCAGGUGUCUUGGUUAAUGCAAACAAACUUCCUCGCUUAAAAUUUCCUUCAUAUUUAAAAACUCAUUUGAUGUACGAUUUACCUCCCUUAAGGAAUUAGAAGCUGGGUGCAGUGGCACAAACCUACAAUCCCAGCCUAUGCAGGAGGAUCACAAGUUCAAGACCAGCCUCAGCAACUUAGGCACUGUUUCCAAAGGGCUGGGAAUGUGGCUCAGUGG